GGGACUGAACAAGAGAAGGGACUUUCCACAGAAUUACUGAAAACAACAAUCUGGUAAUGAGGGAGUUGCUUCUUUCUGCUGGAGUGAAAUUCCUCUACAAUGUUUUUCCUUUGUGGCUGCAUUUUCUAGCAUCAGUAGGAGUACCUUCUGAAGAGAGUAAGUCCAGUUCACUAUUGAAUCUGCAUUCAAAGAUGCCAGUAAGCAGGUCACCAGCUCGAACAGACCCUUCUUGCUCUGUCCCAAGGACAAAGAAGAUGGCUGCUGCGUUCCCCUCUGUGAAGAAUUUGCUGGCCUUUGAAAGAAACGGUCAGUAGAAGAUUCACUGGAUAGUGAAAUUCUUUGUGCCUGGGAUGUGUUCAGUCUGCUUUUCUGCUGCACCAGGAAAGAAGGUCCAGUGUCUUAUUUCAUUCUGGAGCUUUUUGAAACUUUUUACUCUGUACUUUAAUUUUGGCAACCUUGGACUGAUGGGGUUUGUAGAUAUUAAUUAUCAAAUUGUUAUUUAUUAGCUGAUAUUCUUUCAAUUCAAUAAAUAUUUUAAAUCCCU